GUGCAUACUGGAUCACUAACUCUACAUAAUGUUGCAGAAGUAGGGGGAAUCGGGUUUGCUAAAGUAAUUGUGGUGCUAGAAAUGUAAUAGUCUCAAAAAAUACUGAGGGUGGUCCAUUCUAUCCUAGUACAGUG